AUUUAUUUUCAAAGCAUAACAUAUUUUUUUUAUUUUUUUUCUCUAUGUGUGCUUGUGCGAGAGUAGUACUAGGAUGGGUGACCCCGUGGGAAAUCCUCGUGUAGCAACCU
rnacentral:rRNA from 1 species